CUCCUCGCCCCCGUCUCCUUCUUCGACCCACACACGAACGUGGGUUCGAGCCGCCGGCCCUCCAGCUUGCCCGCCCCUCUUCCCCGUCUUCUCCCCUCCUCUACUCCCCCAGGCCAUACCGUGGUGGAUGACAUGCCCGCCGGCGCUCCAUCCUCCCCUCUUCUCCAUCUUUCCCCUAGCCAUCUCCCUCCUCCCUCCCUGUUUCGCCCCCACCCCUACUCGGAUCUGGUCUGGAAUUUGGCGCCGGCGACUUGGAGGCGGAGGACACUCGAGCGCUCCUUCUGGAUCGGGUCAACACGGCUUCGCCGCUCGAUGCGGAACGACGGGGGCGGCUGGAUCGGCGGCGGCGGCUGGAGCAUGCAGAACGACGACGGCGGCUGGAGUUGGGGAUUGCCAUCCCUGUGAGGAGCGCGUCUCGCCGGCCGCGGCUUCACUGGGAGGAGCGCAGCUGCGUAGUCCGUCGCUCGCACCGCUGCUUCGCCGGUUAGGAGCAUCAGCUACGGCGCUUGCCAUCCCCGUGGUCACCGCUGCUGCUGCAAACGCUGGUGAUGGAGAAUCGCUCCUUGGUUUUUGUUGCUGCCAGAUCCUCAAUCGCUACCUCGAUCUUGCCAUCACCAGCCCAUCAAGGGCUCCAAUAUCCUCAGGUAUCCACCAGAAAAAUAAGGAAAAAGCUCAAGUUCUGACUCAUGUGUUUCUAGAUUAAAAAACAAGAAGCUCUAGCCCAUGUGGUUGAGGUUGUCUCUUAUCUUAUUUGCUUAGCGUAUUUAUAUUUCAUCAGGAUGCAAGUUGCUACUUGAGUGUUAGAAUUUGUGAAAUACCGAUUUUCUCUUGGCCCCAACGACAUUGCUUGGCUCCACUCAAAAUGCCAGUUGUUAGAAGUAAUAUGUUCUUCCUUUUCCCCGAAGAAGAUUUAUACAAUCUGAUCAUCUAUACAUUGGACAGAUAAACAAUAGAAAGAGAACUCAAUCUGAUAUGCUUUUGUUCAGGUCCAGAUAUAGAAACCAUAGAUUGGUAAAUGCAUCUAAAUUCUAAAUUAAAUUAUGCUUAAUGUGAGAGGAAAGCAAGAUUUCCUUACAGUACUGAUGGUUAAUGAUAGAAGCAUAUCAAGUAUAACAGUGAAAUUGCAGUACUGUUGUUCGUCGCGUUGUUCAGUUAAAGGUUAAUAUCUCCAAACUUCAUUUUCUCUUUUUAUAGAAGCUCUCGCCUAACAACUUAUUUUCUAGGACUGUUAGUCUUUGUUUAACAAAUUUGAAUCUUGAUGUGGCUAAACGGUGAAUAAAUUCUACUGUAAACAUUAGUGUGUAUGUCGCUCUUUUCUUCCUACAAAAAAUAGUCCGCUCAUUAAACUUAAAUGCAAUAUCAAUUCACUCCGAAGAGGCUUAUCCCCUUUCACUAACUACCUAUUCCUUUGACCUGUCAAACAAUCGAAAGGAUCCCUUUAAAUUGGUUCUAAAUGUUCAUGCAGCAUCAGUGUUAUAAGGUACCAGAAAACAUGUGGAGAGAAUACUUCGUUCUGUUGUGAAAACAAUAGCUGUACUCUUCUAGGUUUUGUUAGAUCAAUUGGCUACUUUGACGGAUUCUUGUGUGGACGUGAUGGGCAGGUACUUCGCCCUCUUCCUCAUCCUUCCUGUACUCCCCCUAUAUCUUAUUUGCACACUCCCAACCCAUUUUUUUGCCUUAUUUGCACAUCUGUUAUAACAGCAAUGUGACAUUAUGGUAUGAUAUUUGCAAUCAUCCACUUAAAUGGCACCUUCAGUUCCAAAGAAAAUAGAUGUAUUUGACUCUUUUUGUUUACAUCCAUCAUGCCAACAAUGAUUAGAGGAAAUCGGUAGUGAUAACAUGAUUUGUUGACUUACUUGGGCUUGGUACAGCGCUGCCGUAUAGAGACACUAUGCGAUGCUAGAUUUGGUAUGAUGCGAUGCCAGCUGUGAAUCUGGGAGUGAAGGAGGUCACGAUGGAGCGGCUCCUUCUCCAUCAUGAUCUGAAGUAUAACAUAGUGCACACAUUAGUUGGAGAAGGAACUGUCUUCCAAGCUUAUAAAUGAUUUCGUCUUACAGGCCAGCCAGAAAAUCUUCAAUCCUCAUUGUAUAAUGAAAUUAUACAUCUGCAACUCUCAUUGCAAGUAAAUUAUAAUCCUUCAGCGCUCAUUGUAUAAGUAUAACCAUGUGAUUUGGAAUGGUUGAUAAUCCAUAUAUCCCACACUUAUAUUAAGUUUGUUCAGUGAGAAUGUGAGAUACAAGUACAACUUUAAUACAAAGUUGUACGAAGUUAGGGAUAGCAGAGUAUUCCAGUAUUCAUGUUGAAAGCUAUGUUAAAUCCUAAAUUUUGUACGCUUCUGAAAUGAAGGUGAGCAAUAGCAUCUUGCAUUAACAGAAGAAAUUAUGUUUC